UCUCCUAUCGUCUAGCGGUUAGGAUACGUGGUUUUCACCCACGAGACCCGGGUUCGAUUCCCGGUGGGAGAA
rfam:Guillardia theta CCMP2712 unplaced genomic scaffold GTITHscaffold_263, whole genome shotgun sequence.